ensembl:misc_RNA Y_RNA Y RNA
GGCUGGUCCGAUGGCAGUGGGUUAUCAGAACUUAUUAACAUUAGUGUCACUAAAGUUGGUAUACCACCCCCCCACUGCUAAAUUUGACUGGCUUUUU